rnacentral:lncRNA from 1 species
GGCAGCUUUGUUUACCUACUCACAGCUUGGCAAUGGCAGGCGCCCCUCCCCCAGCCUGGCUGCCGCCUUGCAGUUUGAUCUCAGACUGCCCUGCUAGCAAUCAGCGAGACUCCGUGGGCGUAGGACCCUCCGAGCCAGGUGCGGGAUAUAGUCUCCUGGUGCGCCGUUUCCUAAGCCCGUCGGAAAAGUGCAGUAUUAGGUUGGGAGUGACCAGAUUUUCCAGGUGCCGUCUGUCACCCCUUUCCUUGACCAGGAAAGGGAACUCCCUGACCCCUUGCACUUCCUGAGUGAGGCAAUGCCUCGCCCUGCUUGGGCUCAUGCACAGUGCGCGGCACCCACUGUCCUGCGCCCACUGUCUGGCACUCCCUAGUGAGAUGAACCUGGUACCUCAGAGGGAAAUGCAGAAAUCACCCAUCUUCUGUGUCACUCACGCUGGGAGCUGUAGACCGGAGCUGUUCCUAUUCGGCCAUCUUGGCUCCCUUAAACUGAUCCUCUUAAACACAGAGCCAAGAAGAUUGAUACAUGACUGGAGCCUGAAUGGUAGAACUUUUUCAGAAGUGAGGAGUCUGUUGGCCCAGAAGAUCUGCGGUAAGAUCUGCCUCAACAUACCUUACUCAUUUUUUUCAAAGAGACUCUAGAGUCUAAAAUGAACAACCAAUCAAUUCUACAAACAUUGCAUCAUGAGGAGUUGCUGCACCUCUUCUCCAGGAUUUGCAAAACGUGUAGUCCAAAUCGAGUUCGGCUAGAACUGGUCUGUCAUCAAGAUAUGGCUCAUGAAAGAGAUUGGUGUUUAGGAGGCUGGGAAAAGGAAAUAUUUUGAGAGACUUCAUGUGCUCCGCACAUGGAGGUGGCUUCCUUUUGCCUCAGGUGAAGGGAGCUUCAACAAGAUCACUCAGAGUUUGAUCAAUGAUCUUAGAAUUUGCAGAACAUAGGGACUGCCAUUUGACUCACCCUUUAGAAGUCAGGAGGAAAGGUUACGUGGCUGGCACUUCUCAUGUCUGGGAAGGAACAACUGUGAAGUGCUGACCUAGACGAAUGUUGCACUUCCGCUGAUGAGUAGGCAAUGGCGAAUGUUUUCCAGGGUCCAAAUGUGGACCCGGCAACAGAGAGGCUGUCUGUAAUCACUUUAUAAGAGACACUAACAACAAUGACCACUGGGACUAAAGAGAGCACAACGGAAGUAGUUCUGCCAGAAGGGCUGAGGAGAGGGCUGAGCAACCACCCUCAGGGGAGGCAGACCCACAUCAAAGACAUCUCAGCAGUCCCUUUCCCAUGAAAGAAAGAGCUAGAAAUUGUCCAUUUGACACACACACAAACCAGAUCCCAGAUUGCAAUUGAUUCAGAUAAUGAAAAGCUUGUUCUUUUCACUUGCUGUUCUAGCCUAACCAUGUAGGUGUCAGAAGCAGUUGUAGGCUAGGAGAGAAGUCGGAGCAAUACAGAAGCCAGUUCUGCCUUUGCCUCAAGAUCCACUGUCCACUCAGAGGCAGGCUGGCACAUGGGGGAUGAGAACAUUCCAAGAAAGAUGUGAAUCUGGAAUUUUCAUUUAUGCAGUAGAUGGGGAUUUACUACUGAAAGGAACAUGUUUUGGCAACUAAUAGUGACCAAAAGAAUUUGUACUUACUAAAAAUUAUCUUAAAAGCAUGGGAUUACCCUAGCAUUUUGUUUCAGAAACUGAAAUUAACAGAAAACUAUAAAAUUACUUUCUGCCUGAAACCUAAGAAGGUGAACUCAUGCCAGAAACCAGUUACAUUCACAAUUACCUGGAUUUUGUUAUUUCCUACAAUGAAUAAAACUUAUUAUAAAGCAGAAAAGC